UGAAUAAUGGCUCAGUUGGUAGAGCAUCAGACUCUUAAUCUCAGGGUUGUGGGUUUGAGUCCCGUGUUAGGUGAA